rnacentral:misc_RNA from 1 species
UCCAUAAAUAUUGGUCCCAACAGCAUACCCGCCAGGGAGUCAGAGGUUAUCCUGGGGAAACAAAACGCUUUGAGGAACAAGAAAGAAAUGAGCAAUAAUGACCAUUGAAAUUAAUUGAAGUUGAAAACGAAAAAAGGGAUGUUCAAGAAUAGUUCCUCCAUGUUUUACAUUCCAUGUGCCAUCAGAAGAAGCACUGAUGUAAUCAAAACAUCCUGCGCUUACAUUCACAAUAAAUUUAUAUUGUGAAACAUUCAUUAUUGCAGAACCAACAAGGUUUCAAGAAUCCUGCAAAGAAAAAAAG